UGGGGAAUCUUGCGCAAUGGGCGAAAGCCUGACGCAGCGACGCCGCGUGGGGGAGGAAGCUUUUCGGAGUGUAAACCUCUGUCAGGGGGGAAGAAUGGGCCGGGGAGGAAAUGCCUCGGUUUUGACGGUACCUCCAAAGGAAGCACCGGCUAACUCUGUGCCAGCAGCCGCGGUAAUACAGAGGGUGCGAGCGUUGUUCGGAAUUACUGGGCGUAAAGCGCGCGCAGGCGGUCCUUUAAGUCUACCCGUGAAAUGCCGGAGCUCAACUCCGUGCACGCCGGGGAGUACUGGGGAGCUGGAGACAUGGUAGUGGCAAGCGGAAUUCCGGGUGUAGCGGUGGAAUGCGUAGAUAUCCGGAAGAACACCUGAGGCGAAGGCGGCUUGCUGGGCAUGAU
rnacentral:rRNA from 1 species